rnacentral:rRNA from 1 species
CAGUAGCCGCGGUAAAACGUAGGUGGCAAGCGUUGUCCGGAAUUAUUGGGCGUAAAGGGCUCGCAGGCGGUUUCUUAAGUCUGAUGUGGAAGCCCCCGGCUCAACCGGGGAGGGUCAUUGGAAACUGGGAAACUUGAGUGCAGAAGAGGAGAGUGGAAUUCCACGUGUAGCGGUGAAAUGCGUAGAGAUGUGGAGGAACACCAGUGGCGAAGGCGACUCUCUGGUCUGUAACUGACGCUGAGGAGCGAAAGCGUGGGGAGCGAACAGGAUUAGAUACCCCGGUAGUCCCUGUCUCUUAUAC